rnacentral:lncRNA from 1 species
ACCACGAACCCACCAGAAGGAAGAAACUCCGAACACAUUUGAACAUCAGAAGGGAUAAACUCCAGACGUGCCACCUUAGGAGCUGUAAACCUCACCGUGAGGGUGCGCGGCCUCAUUCUUGAAAUUGAGUUGACUUCAAGAAUCGGUCUUCGAGCUUCUUUCCUCAGCUUGGUUGAUUCUGCUGUUAAUACUUGAACCCAGCCAGCAUGCUUGUGAGAAGCAUGCCUGAGUCCUAGAGAGUCAAUAGUCUCUGAUGAAUGCCACCCAACAGUCAAUAUCAACUGAAAGCCAUCUGCGUGAGCCAUCUCAGUCCAGUCAAGCUAUCAACAUGACUGCAGCAGCACUGGAGACUGCAAGAAAGAAUUGCCCAGCUUAGGCCAGUCAACACACAGGAUUACAAAAGGUAAUUAUAAAUUAUUGUUUCAAGUCACUGAGUUUUUGGAUAACAACAAAUAAAAUGAGCAAUGUAAGUUGGAUAACCUUUAUCCAAAACACUUGGGACCAGAAUUGUUUCAGAUUUCGGAUUUGUUUUUUUGGAUUUUAGAAUAUUUGCACAGACAUAAUAAGAUAUCUUGGGGAUGAAACCAAAGUCUAAAAACAAAAUUUGCUUAUGUUUCAUAUAUACUUUACACACAUAAGCUGAGAUAAUUUUAUACAAUACUUUGAAUAAUUUUGUACAUGAAGCAAAGUUUGUACUAAGUACUUAUGUAUGGAAUUUUCUACUUUUAACUUCAUGUUGGUACUCAAAAAGUUUCAGAUUUUGGAGCAUUUCGGAUUUCAGAUUAUUGUAUUAUGCAUGCUCAAUAUGUACAUGCAAUAUGCCUUAAAACACGCAGAAGUAUACCUACAACUUAAAAUAAUAAGGAAUUCAAAAUGUCAAAUCUGUACAUCUGGAGACAUUUAAUAAACAUAUGUCAACAUUUUAAAAUAGUAAUUAAUCUUCAUUUAUUAACACAAUCCUUGACAUGUAGAAGGUGUUUUGUAAAUAUGUUAAAACAUAGACACAGGCAAGCUGUAGGGUCAAGGAAAGCUUAAAAGAGGGAAGAAUAUUGAAUCUAGGUGAAAAUGAUAGAUAUAUUUUCUCCAGAGCUCUUCAGGAUCCCUUCAACAACUCAGAAUUUGCACAUUUUAUUACUUUUAUUUCACAGGAGUUUUGUUGCAAAUGCCCAUUUCUUAUGGUUAAUAUUUUACUUAACCAAAGAAAGGGAGACAGAAACAAACAUGUUAUGCUCCUUUACCUUCAAUAGGCCCAGAAACUACACAUGAGUAGAUGUACAUAAGCAUAAAAAUGUUUUGUAUAAAAUUAUGAAAAUGUUUUUAAGACAAAACCUGGAGACACAAAUGGAAAAUGUGAACUAAAGGUAGAAUUCUUCUUUGUUAAAGGCCAUAUAAUAGCCUUGAUAUUGUGAGACUGAAUAAUAGUAUAAAUUUUAGUCAAAUGGCAGAAGGUUACCUCCCAUAGAGUCAAGAGGCUCAUCUAAAAUAGGAGUUUUGAGUAUCAGAAUCUUUUCUUAGCUGCCUAAGUAAUUGCAAAUAUAUAAUUGUAUUUCCAGAUUGUUACGAUUCAAAAUGACCUAUUUUUUAAAUAUUGAAAUUGAGAGAAUUCUAGAUGAGAAAUAUUGGGGAAGAUGAAGAGAGGUACAGAGUACAGAAGAGGAGCAUGACCCUGAGGUCCCUGGAAUGGCUUUCUGUUUAGGGCAUGCAAUCUAAUGGCCAUCAAUGAAACAGUAAAUAAGGGCAAUCCAUAAUAUCAGUACUGAGGUAAAUUACUGUCAGUCUACAAAGAGAGGGCCACACAUAUGUGAAAGAAAACCUAAACACUUCUGCACCUAGAUAUACAAAGCAGCUUGUCUCAGUCCAACACUUCUAUCAAAAACAACCAUAAUCAUUGAGUAAAAUAGAAAUAAAACAAAGUAGAAAACAACGAAAAACACAGAUUUUAGAUGACAUUACAAAGCAAUCAAGGUAGCAGAAUUUGAGGAUCAAAAUCUCGUAGAAAAGAUAAAUUUACUGAAGUGAACCUUCCAUUUUCCUUUCCAUGCAUCAACAGAAGAAGAAUCUAAAAAGAAAGUGGCAUCUAAGAAACAAAAAGUUAGGCAGAACUUUCAGCAGUCUCACAGUACUGGGAAAGAAUUAUGCCAAUUUGGGCUACAGAGCAGCCAGGAUUUGUGGGUUAUGACCCUAGGCAAAAGGGGCAAGAACAGAGAAGGGAGAGAAGACAAUAUUCUGAGCUUUAUUUCCCCUUGAGAUUUGCUUAUUCUAAAGUUUCAUGGGAUGAGAAGCUGAGAAGAUAGGAAGAGUGGAAGCUGAGAAAUGUAAAACCUAGGCAAAACUUCUAGUGAUCUCACACUGCUAGGAAGAAAAAGAUCGAAGUCGGGUUUUUAGACAGAAAGUUGGGAUUAUGAUGGCAUGCUUUCAGUUGAGACUCAAGAGGGAAAAUUCACAUGCAUUACUAGUGGGGGUGUCAAUUUUUUUCAAUGACCUUGCAAACAUUUUUGUGUUGCUUCGGAGAGAUUUUGCUCUAAAAUUGCAUUCAGGGACCCAGGUUGUUACUGGCCCCGUCAUCUUCAAAAUGUGGCUUUCAAGUGUAAUACAUCACUUAUUCCAUUGCACAUGGAGUAAAACAGAUUGCAAAGAGAAAAUAAAAGUUUUAUGGCCCAGGUCUCAGAAGUGGUCGUCACUUGCAACUACAUUCCGUUGUCCAGAAAUUAGUCAUAUGACCACAUUUUACUACAAGGGGAAUUUACUCUAGCUCUGAACCUGGGAGACAGGUACAUAAUUCGAUAACCUAGAACGUCUCUUUCAAACCCCAUUUCUCAUCAUUUACACACAUAUAAAAUAGCAUACCUUGAAUACCUUGAACAACGCAGACAUAGAAAUUGCUUAAUAGAUACUUUGCAUUUUAAUUUUAUUUGACUUUGUACAAGUAAAAUUACUCUAUGAACACCAAUCUCUUAGAGCAGGCAGUUGCAAUAUACUAAAAUAACAACUUUCUAGGCUUAAAAUAUUUUCCUCAGUUUUUUGCUGAUUUAUCAAGAAAAUUUAAUAGGAACUCCUUUGGUUCUCACAUUACGUACACCAGUGAUAAAUUUGUUACCAAAGAAAGGAAACUCUACAAGUUGAGAAACUAAUGAUAUAAGAAGCUAUUAAAGAUUGUAAACUGCUGUGUACGAUAGAUAUUCACAGCUGGUAAUGGAAGUUUUAAAAUAGAAGUCCUCAUGUCAUUCUGGUUGGUAACCCUCUGCAAAGCCUCAACAAACUGCUUUGUGAUUUAUAUCUAAUUUGAAUAUGCCAUAAACUCCCCAAGCAGUUACUUUUGAGAGAAAUUUCCAUUUUCCUUGAAUUUUUCUUUCUAUGCUUUUGAAAUUUACUCACUAGCGUUUAAGAAUAAACUUAAACCUGAGGAUGCACUUCUAAUCACAGUGUCUUCUAAUACGAUUUUCCAGGAAGAUUAGAAUGUGCUCUCUGCACAGGCAUUAACUUAUCAAGGUUUAUUUUGGCAAUCAGGGAACUGCUAAUAAGCUCAAGAAGAGGUCAUGAUUAAGCAAGAAAUUUAUUGAUUCCUGGUGUCCUCCAUUUAUCAUGAAAUUUACAUUAUAAAUUUCAUGAUUGUACAUAGAAACAUGUUUUGCAAUAUUUACCUUGCCUUUGGCAGAGUUUAAACAAGAUUUGAGAAUUGCUCAUUUAUUUUAUCAGCCCUUGACUCAAUUCUUAACUCUCUAACUUACGUUGUUUGUUCAAUUAAUGUUGAGAGGUCAGCAAAAUAAGGAAAUAAAACACUCAGCUAACAUUUGGUAACUUAGCCAAUAUGUGUUAGGCACUCUUUUCUUUACAUAUAUUGUCUUAGUUAAUUUUAAUUCUUACAUUCAUCUCACCUCACAUGUAAAGCAGAUGUUACAUGGACUGAUAUUCAGGUGCUUUGCCCAAUGUGAUUGACAGAUUUUCUUAUGACUGGUUCGUGUCUUCAUAGCCAUUAAAUGUUUAAAGUAUUAUCUCUGAAGAUUACUAUUUCAUCUUACAGAAAAGAAUACUAGAUUUUAGGUGUCACCACUGAUAAAUGAACAUCUGGUAAAAGAUAAAGUAGAGAUACAAAAUCCAAGGAGCUUAAUCUUUAUCACAUGGUAUAUUGAAUAUUAUUUUAAAAUUAAAUCAUAAUCUGUAUUUAUUCAAAGACUUACUUUUCCAUGACCCUUAAGUUUUAUCAGAAAAUUUGAAUAACAUAUAACAGAAACAUUCCUGUGCAAUGAAACAUGUAUGUAAUCAUCCAAAUGCAAAACCACAAAUUAUCAGACACAGGAAGUGCAGUAUUUCUGUUGUUAUAACUGUAUAUGCCUUCACUCUUUCUCACCUGUCAGCAGACUAUCACAACAUAAAUCCAAACUGAAUAAUAGUCUUGGAAAUAUCAAGGUAAUCAUUUCAACUUUGCUGUGUGUGUGUGGGGGGUGUGUGUGUGUGUGUAUACGCAUGUACGUAAGGAUACAAAAAUGUAUCAAACCAUUAAUAUACCAACUGGGAGUUCUUUUAUUUACUUAUUUUCUGUCAUUUUACUAAUACACAUACCCACAGAAAUAUUUUUAACA